AUUGAACGCUGGCGGCAUGCCUUACACAUGCAAGUCGAACGGCAGCACGGGAGCAAUCCUGGUGGCGAGUGGCGAACGGGUGAGUAAUAUAUCGGAACGUGCCCAGUCGUGGGGGAUAACGUAGCGAAAGCUACGCUAAUACCGCAUACGAUCUAUGGAUGAAAGCGGGGGAUCGCAAGACCUCGCUCGAUUGGAGCGACCGAUAUCAGAUUAGGUAGUUGGUGAGGUAAAGGCUCACCAAGCCGACGAUCUGUAGCUGGUCUGAGAGGACGACCAGCCACACUGGGACUGAGACACGGCCCAGACUCCUACGGGAGGCAGCAGUGGGGAAUUUUGGACAAUGGGCGCAAGCCUGAUCCAGCAAUGCCGCGUGCAGGAUGAAGGCCUUCGGGUUGUAAACUGCUUUUGUACGGAACGAAACGGUGAGCUCUAAUACAGUUUGCUAAUGACGGUACCGUAAGAAUAAGCACCGGCUAACUACGUGCCAGCAGCCGCGGUAACAC
rnacentral:rRNA from 1 species